CGUCUGAGGACGCACGUGAUCUCAGCCUCGCGUGUUCCCACCCCUAUGAAGAUGAAGCUUCUGGGAAGUCCCUGGGGGCCUGGCGAGCUGCUUGUGAAAGAGCCACCAACUCCUUGGGGGGCUGAAGGCUGCCCCUCUUCGAGGAGUUGAGCACCCUGGCCCCCAUAACUUGCUGGCUCCAGGCCAUCAGGGGUCUCAUCUUCUCGUCCAUCUAAGCUACCUUGCACCAUGCUGGGAAAUUCACUUGACAUUAGUGUUGAUUCGUUUUACAAGGAUUUAUAGCAGAGAAGUGAACAAGAAAAAAGAAAGAGGCCAGUCACCAUAAG
ensembl:lncRNA